GUCGAAAGGGCAACAGCCCAGAUCGUCAGCUAAGGUCCCUAAAUGUAAGUUAAGUGGUAAAGGAUGUGGGAUUGCACAGACAACCAGGAUGUUGGCUUAGAAGCAGCCACUCAUUCAAAGAGUGCGUAAUAGCUCACUGGUCGAGUGAUCCUGCGCCGAAGAUUUCCGGGGCUAAAACUUACUACCGAAGCUACGGCAUCAGUAAUGAUGGGUAGGGGAGCUUCCCAUACGGGUUGAAGCAUGACCGUAAGGACAUGUGGACAGUAUGGGAGUGAGAAUGUUGGCAUGAGUAGCGAGAUGUGGGUGAGAAUCCCACAGGCCGUAAACCCAAGGUUUCCAGGGGAAGGUUCGUCCGCCCUGGGUUAGUCGGGACCUAAGCUGAGGCCGAAAGGCGUAGGUGAUGGACAACAGGUUGAUAUUCCUGUACUACCGAUAACCGUUUGAGAGAAGGGAUGACACAGUAGGAUAAGCUAAGCACACUGUUGGUUAUGUGUGCCCAAGCAUUGAGGCAGUCAAAGUAGGCAAAUCCGCUUUGAUAAUGCUGGGAUGUGAUG
rnacentral:rRNA from 1 species